CAGAGACCUGACUGGCAAGUGGGACCCAGAAUCCCAGUCCCAGGGCUCUGUUCUAUUGGUACAGGAUCAGCACUGUUUCCAGUGCGCUCUGAGGCCCAGAGGAGAGAAGAAGCCUGGGUGAAGCUGAGGUGCUGCAGGAGUUGACACCUUCAUGGAGGACAGGGCAAGCCCAGGCUCCUGCAGGAGCCCUCGGGCAGAGGGACAGCAGCAGGCCUGUCACCAUCUCACUGAGCUACCAGGCCCUUUUACGUGCUACUGAGCAAGCCAUACAAGAAGCCCCCAUGUCACCUCACCCCCUGCCAGUCUUGUUGCCCUGCAUCCUAACGGUGGCACUCGCUUUGCCUCUGUGAUGAAAAACGAAACAAAAAGACAAAACUGGCUGUCCCCCACCUGCAGUUCGCCGACCAACCCAGAGAAUGGCUGGGAGAGCCCACCCAGUGCACGUGUCCAGCAUGCUCCUUUCUAGCAUGGCCUCACUCAUCUCCAAGGGAGGCUGGGAAAUGGCUCCUAGGAGACAACUAGGACUGCCACAGAGACCACGACAUGUGGCACCUCCACUUGGUGACACAUCACACUGGGAGAGAAAGCAGAGGCUCCACCCCUCUCCUCGGAUUCCAGGGACAGGGAAGUGACUGUCCACUCCAUCACACUGUGGCUGGGUGUCGGGACUCCAGGCCAAGCCUGUCGGAAUCCAGCGCCUUCUCCACACACAGCUGGGAAGUAAAGGAACUGCAAGACCCUGUAAUGUUCCAGUAAGAGGAAUGAGCUGAGAGGAAGGGGAGCCAGUGUGCUCAGAGGGUUUCUAAUCCUUGAAGAUUCUCCUCCGAGGGGCAGGGACACCGGUGCCUGCAGUCACUGAGGUGGAGGCCAGGUUGGCAGGCCCUGGAGACAGGGAGUAUAGGGGCCACCAGACUGCCAUUGGUACCAGUGUAUCUGUUCCUGUUCAUCUGCUUUAGGCGAUCUUGGUUGCUUCCUGACAAGGCCUGACAAUUGUGAAGAGCUACUCGGAGAAAGUCAUUCACUGGAGACCGACAAAUUUUACUGAAGCCCUUGCCUUGUCAAGAUGUCAAAGAAUGCACCCAGAGCUGCUUCAUCAUCUUGGAAUCUCUUGAGUACCCUUCCUCAGGCACCUGCCAAGCCUAGCUGGCUGUUCCUCUUCUGCUGCCUGUCACAGCCUCUGACCAGGCUCCGUGGCAUCUGGCACUGUAUGUCAAGUGCUGGUUUCCUGAUCCAGACCCUCACACUACUGCCAGGUCCAGGACAAAGGUCCACACCAUGCACCCUGCUGGCUCACUUUGAGUCCCCAGUACGUCGGGGAUGGAGGUACUGAAGCUGUCUAGGAUCCAACCUGUCUUGCUAAUUUUCCUCCCUAAUGCCCACCAUCAAGCCCCACAUUCGCAGGCCCACUGCAUGUGCUCUCCCAGCUCCAUGGCUGUGCUCAGAGAUGCUUUUCUCACUUGUACACCAAAGUCCCAAAGGUAAACUUUGAUGCUUCUGACCUGAAGUUGUUUUUGGAGACAAGAUCUCGCUAUGUAGUUCAGGCUAGCCUUGAACUCAGUGAUCCUCCUGCCUUUCAAGUGCAGAGAUUACAGGUAAGAGACACUCUGCUUUUAUACUCCCAGAGCGCCCAAUAGGUUUUGUCUACAGGUGAGAAGACAGCAGUGUGAGAAACGGCUGUCUCCUCCACUUGCAGCACUUGUACGAGGGUGCCCUAGCUUCCUCUCCACUUUGAUAGUUUUCCCCCCUGGUUGUGGAUUAGCUCAAAUCCUAGUGAUUAGAGGAUCACAGUGUACAGAUCAUGGCAAGUUCAACAAAAAGCAUGGAAGAAAGAAGUGCCUGUUCAUGAAAAACCCACUGACGAUGCUCCGGUAAUUUUCGAAUGACUUCAUUUCUUAUCAGGUUGGCCACAAACAAGAGAAUCCUAGAAUCAGAAUCCCAAAAUCAUAAAUUCUGGGAAAUUUGCCUUCAUUCUCCUGGGUGAGAAAAGUCCUCUGGGAAACGCUGGCUUCCUACCACAGGUGACCCCAAGGAACAAAACAGGAAAUAUCAAGAUACAUCAGGAAAUGU